GGGUUGUGAGGUUAAGCGACUAAGCGUACACGGUGGAUGCCCUGGCAGUCAGAGGCGAUGAAGGACGUGCUAAUCUGCGAAAAGCGUCGGUAAGGUGAUAUGAACCGUUAUAGCCGGCGAUGUCCGAAUGGGGAAACCCAGUGCAAUUCGUUGCACUAUCGUUAACUGAAUACAUAGGUUAACGAGGCGAACCGGGGGAACUGAAACAUCUAAGUACCCCGAGGAAAAGAAAUCAACCGAGAUUCCCCCAGUAGCGGCGAGCGAACGGGGAGCAGCCCAGAGUCUGAAUCAGCUUGUGUGUUAGUGGAACGGUCUGGAAAGUCCGACGGUACAGGGUGAUAGUCCCGUACACCAAAAUGCACAGGCUGUGAACUCGAAGAGUAGGGCGGGACACGUGGUAUCCUGUCUGAAUAUGGGGGGACCAUCCUCCAAGGCUAAAUACUCCUGACUGACCGAUAGUGAACCAGUACCGUGAGGGAAAGGCGAAAAGAACCCCGGCGAGGGGAGUGAAAAAGAACCUGAAACCGUGUACGUACAAGCAGUGGGAGCACCUUCGGGUGUGACUGCGUACCUUUUGUAUAAUGGGUCAGCGACUUAUAUUCUGUAGCAAGGUUAACCGUAUAGGGGAGCCGCAGGGAAACCGAGUCUUAACUGGGCGUUAAGUUGCAGGGUAUAGACCCGAAACCCGGUGAUCUAGCCAUGGGCAGGUUGAAGGUUGGGUAACACUAACUGGAGGACCGAACCGACUAAUGUUGAAAAAUUAGCGGAUGACUUGUGGCUGGGGGUGAAAGGCCAAUCAAACCGGGAGAUAGCUGGUUCUCCCCGAAAGCUAUUUAGGUAGCGCCUCGUGAAUUCAUCUUCGGGGGUAGAGCACUGUUUCGGCUAGGGGGUCAUCCCGACUUACCAACCCGAUGCAAACUACGAAUACCGAAGAAUGUUAUCACGGGAGACACACGGCGGGUGCUAACGUCCGUCGUGAAGAGGGAAACAACCCAGACCGCCAGCUAAGGUCCCAAAGUCAUGGUUAAGUGGGAAACGAUGUGGGAAGGCACAGACAGCCAGGAUGUUGGCUUAGAAGCAGCCAUCAUUUAAAGAAAGCGUAAUAGCUCACUGGUCGAGUCGGCCUGCGCGGAAGAUGUAACGGGGCUAAACCAUGCACCGAAGCUGCGGCAGCGACACUAUGUGUUGUUGGGUAGGGGAGCGUUCUGUAAGCCUGCGAAGGUGUGCUGUGAGGCAUGCUGGAGGUAUCAGAAGUGCGAAUGCUGACAUAAGUAACGAUAAAGCGGGUGAAAAGCCCGCUCGCCGGAAGACCAAGGGUUCCUGUCCAACGUUAAUCGGGGCAGGGUGAGUCGACCCCUAAGGCGAGGCCGAAAGGCGUAGUCGAUGGGAAACAGGUUAAUAUUCCUGUACUUGGUGUUACUGCGAAGGGGGGACGGAGAAGGCUAUGUUAGCCGGGCGACGGUUGUCCCGGUUUAAGCAUGUAGGCUGGUUGUCCAGGCAAAUCCGGAUAAUCAAGGCUGAGGUGUGAUGACGAGGCACUACGGUGCUGAAGUAACAAAUGCCCUGCUUCCAGGAAAAGCCUCUAAGCAUCAGGUAACAUUAAAUCGUACCCCAAACCGACACAGGUGGUCAGGUAGAGAAUACCAAGGCGCUUGAGAGAACUCGGGUGAAGGAACUAGGCAAAAUGGUGCCGUAACUUCGGGAGAAGGCACGCUGGUGUGUAGGUGAAGUCCCUGCGGAUGGAGCUGAGACCAGUCGAAGAUACCAGCUGGCUGCAACUGUUUAUUAAAAACACAGCACUGUGCAAACACGAAAGUGGACGUAUACGGUGUGACGCCUGCCCGGUGCCGGAAGGUUAAUUGAUGGGGUUAUCCGUAAGGAGAAGCUCUUGAUCGAAGCCCCGGUAAACGGCGGCCGUAACUAUAACGGUCCUAAGGUAGCGAAAUUCCUUGUCGGGUAAGUUCCGACCUGCACGAAUGGCGUAAUGAUGGCCAGGCUGUCUCCACCCGAGACUCAGUGAAAUUGAACUCGCUGUGAAGAUGCAGUGUACCCGCGGCAAGACGGAAAGACCCCGUGAACCUUUACUAUAGCUUGACACUGAACAUUGAGCCUUGAUGUGUAGGAUAGGUGGGAGGCUUUGAAGCGUGGACGCCAGUCUGCGUGGAGCCAACCUUGAAAUACCACCCUUUAAUGUUUGAUGUUCUAACGUUGGCCCCACCGGGGUUGCGGACAGUGUCUGGUGGGUAGUUUGACUGGGGCGGUCUCCUCCCAAAGCGUAACGGAGGAGCACGAAGGUUAGCUAAUCCUGGUCGGACAUCAGGAGGUUAGUGCAAUGGCAUAAGCUAGCUUGACUGCGAGCGUGACGGCGCGAGCAGGUGCGAAAGCAGGUCAUAGUGAUCCGGUGGUUCUGAAUGGAAGGGCCAUCGCUCAACGGAUAAAAGGUACUCCGGGGAUAACAGGCUGAUACCGCCCAAGAGUUCAUAUCGACGGCGGUGUUUGGCACCUCGAUGUCGGCUCAUCACAUCCUGGGGCUGAAGUAGGUCCCAAGGGUAUGGCUGUUCGCCAUUUAAAGUGGUACGCGAGCUGGGUUUAGAACGUCGUGAGACAGUUCGGUCCCUAUCUGCCGUGGGCGCUGGAGAAUUGAGGGGGGCUGCUCCUAGUACGAGAGGACCGGAGUGGACGCAUCACUGGUGUUCGGGUUGUCAUGCCAAUGGCACUGCCCGGUAGCUAAAUGCGGAAGAGAUAAGUGCUGAAAGCAUCUAAGCACGAAACUUGCCCCGAGAUGAGUUCUCCCUGAGACUUUAAGUCUCCUGAAGGAACGUUAAAGACGAUGACGUUGAUAGGCCGGGUGUGUAAGCGCAGCGAUGCGUUGAGCUAACCGGUACUAAUGAACCGUGAGGCUUAACCUUACAACGCCGAAG
rnacentral:rRNA from 1 species